rnacentral:rRNA from 1 species
UACGUAGGUGGCAAGCGUUGUCCGGAUUUACUGGGCGUAAAGAGCGCGCAGGCGGUCGUUCAAGUCGCGUGUGAAAGCCCCCGGCUCAACUGGGGAGGGUCACGCGAUACUGAUCGACUCGAAGGCAGGAGAGGGUAGUGGAAUUCCCGGUGUAGUGGUGAAAUGCGUAGAUAUCGGGAGGAACACCAGUGGCGAAGGCGGUUGCCUGGGGCUGUGCUGACGCUGAUGCGCGAAAGCGUGGGGAGCGAUCCGG